AGAUCAAGGAAAAAAAAAAGCAAAAGAAGAAUCGAAGAGAGGGGAAGAUCUCGCUGAUAAUUAGAUCAAGAUCAAAAAAAGCAAAAGAAGAGAAAAGACGGAAAAGAAGAAUAGAAAAGAGGAGAAGAUCUCGCCGAGAAUAGACCGGCCGGAAGGUCGCUGGGGUGGGAAAGAGAAAGAGGAGAGAUCCAACAUUGUGGUGGACUUCCGGGGGAAGGUUUGAGUUUGUUUCUGGAGAGGUGGUUGCUAAAAUUUUGAUCGAGUUUGGGGGAGAGCUUUCAGCAGGAGAAGAGAGAUGAAGAAGGGAUAUUCUUGGUAUAUUCAGUCAGUAGCUUUGAAAGCACCUGUGUAUUCAAUUGGACCAAUUUAGGAGUGGAGUGCCUUCUGUGUAAUAAAAAGUUUCUGGUCAAGUAUGAAGGAAUUCCUGGGAAUGGAGUAGCUUGAACACCGCUUAUUAUGGUGGAGUAUCAUUAAAAUGAGUUGUGUUGUUUGACAUAUAUUAUCAAGAACCCCCACUUAUUGUCAAAACAAAAAGAAAGUGAAAUGGUUAAUUGCUUUUGGGGGGUAACAAUGAAUAUAGAAGUCAUUGCCUACAAUAGCUCUUUAUGUGAGUGGACAUAAUGGGGAGUGCAAUUUCUUUCUGCUGUUUCGGAUUAUAUAGUGCAUAUUGUUUCUGUUUCAUAUUUGUUAGUUGAUUACAUGGAAUGAGAACCUGUAGGCUGUAUACUGCUGGUAUUAAAAGGAAAGUCUCUGAUCCUAUGUACUGUAAAUAUUGACAUUUAGAAGAUUAACAUUUCUCUGGAAUUUUUUAUAUGUUUUGGCUUAUUUAUUUGAAUACGGUAUCAGUUUGCCACAAAGAACUAUUUGGUAGGUGGAAAUUUGAAACACCAGUUCAUCCAUAUUCUGCUUAGUGCUGCUUUCCUUAUUCUACACACUACAUCAUUCUAGAGUUGUAUACAGAAUUACAGUUGAAUUAAAAAUGGGUUCAUAAACACACUCAGUUGAACAAGUCAAAGAUAAUAAUCUAUGGCAUUCUGUACAUACUAGAACUGUCUAUUUUUACUUAAAUACUGAGACCAAGAGAAGGAAAUACAUUCAUGACCCUUAUAUAUACCAUAGACUUCCAUGUCAUCAAAAGAAAAGAAAAAGAAAAAAAAACACUUCCAUGUGCUAAACUAAUUAAUAACAUCAGCUUGGAUAAUGAGGUUAAUAUAAAAGUUUCCCUUGGAUUUUUAAACUAUUGUUAGUCAUUUCAUGAUAUUAAUUAUAUCUAUUUUUCUUUCCGAGCUUAAUAAUGCUCCUGUUGUGCUGAGAGGAUUUGAAUUUAGCAAACUUCAGGAAAACUAUCAGCAAGUUUGUUGAUUGAUUGAACCAAAGUAUAGAAAUAGGCAAUUGAUUAGUCCUUGAAAUGAAGGUAGUGCCCUUUUUAAAUGGCUUUGUUCGGUAUUUUUCUCCAUUUGAUUUUGAUUAGGUUUGUCUACCUAUAUAUAAAGUUUUUAAUUUACUGCUGUUAUAGGUGUGGACUGUUGAUAGAAGUUGAGUCUCACUUUUGGCAUUUCUCUAUCAGAUGACAUCUAUCAAUGGAAACCGGGAACUAGGAGUAUAACACUCGCUGUAUUUUCGCAAUUGCUGUGAUUCUCUAAGAUUCUCAACUUUCCGGCCUCAAUUUAUCAAACAAUGAGGAUCGGUUUGUGCUUCAGUCUAAGGCAAUGAGAAUGAGCAAAGGGUGACAAGUUGUUGGCGUCGCAAAAUGCAGAGAGCCAUCAGAGAUUCAGAAAGGUUUAGGUAUGCAAGGGAUACAUCAUUCGAAAAGAGUCAUUUGCAUUACAAUUUUUCAGGUCAGUUACUAUGAGUACCUGACUCUGAGGCAUGGUUUUAUCUCUGCAGAUUUAGCACUUGAGAUCAUUUAUUCUCAUGCUAAUGGGUGAGAGAAGAGGAUUUGGCAAAGGACUGGAAACUGCGCUUGAAGCAUCUUCGUACGUUGUACUUUAUGAUUUUCUGAGGAGGUGAAAUUGGUCACCCGAGACCAUAGGAAGAAGGCAUAGAUAGACGGAGAGAUAUGAAGCUCAUUUAUGGAACAAAGGGUCUUGGAAUCCAACACAAAGGAAGAAGGGAAAACAGGGGCUUAUGACAAAGAAGAAUCCACAACAAAAGCAUAUGAGUUGGCAGCACUCAAGUAGUGGGGAACAUCAACUUUUACAAAUUUUCUGGUGUCGGAUUAUGAGAAUGAAAUUGAUCUGUUGAACACUAACAAAAAGAAGAGUACUUGGCCUUUCUAAGAAGCUAAUUAUUCAUCUUCAAAUUAAUAAGCAGUUGAGCAGCCUACUUUAACUGUUGUAAAAAUUUCAAGAGAUGAAUUUGAUCUAUCUAUUUACUAAUUAUUUGAUAGUUUUUUGUUCAAACCUGUUAAAUAUCAAAUUCAUACUAAAUUGAUUUCUAUAAAUG